GGCACCGUGGCGAAGUGGUAACGCAGGGGACUGCAAAUCCUCGACGCGGGGGUUCGAUUCCCCCCGGUGCCUCAA
rnacentral:tRNA from 1 species